CGUGCGAUUUUUCAGACGAAAAAAUUAUCUAACUAAUGAUAAAAUUUUUGAAAUCUGUACAAACGCUACUCUUCUCUAUUGAGAUGCAUUAAAUGUGGAGACCAUCAGCCAGUUUUGAGCUAAUGAAGGCUUGACGUAUGGUCUAUUUUAGGAAUUCAUAUCGACUUGACGUCCUCUGAGAGAUAUGUGUCCUUUUAUUUAAAGGGGC
rnacentral:lncRNA from 1 species